rnacentral:rRNA from 1 species
UACGGAGGGUCCAAGCGUUAUCCGGAAUCAUUGGGUUUAAAGGGUCCGUAGGCGGUUUUGUAAGUCAGUGGUGAAAGCCCAUCGCUCAACGGUGGAACGGCCAUUGAUACUGCAAGACUUGAAUUACUAGGAAGUAACUAGAAUAUGUAGUGUAGCGGUGAAAUGCUUAGAUAUUACAUGGAAUACCAAUUGCGAAGGCAGGUUACUACUAGUUGAUUUGACGCUGAUGGACGAAAAGCGUGGGGAGCGAACAGG